rnacentral:rRNA from 1 species
GUCCUUUUGUUAUUUAUAUAAGGUCUGACCUGCCCAAUGAUUUUCAAUGGCCGCGGUAUUUUAACCGUGCAAAGGUAGCAUAAUCACUUGUCUUUUAAUUGGAGGCUAGAAUGAACGGUUGGACGAGAUAUAUACUUUCUUUAUUUUAUAAAAAUGAAUUUAAUUUUUGAGUUAAAAAGCUUAAAUUUUAUUAUAGGACGAGAAGACCCUAUAGAACUUUAUUUUUAUAUAUAAGUUUUUAAUUUUGAUAAUUAUUUAAUUAAUUAUAUAUAAAAAUUUUGUUGGGGUGACAGGAAAAUAUUUAUAACUUUUCUUUUAUUUUUUUCAUAAAUUAAUGUAUUUUUGAUCCAAUAUUUUUGAUUAAAAGAUUAAGUUACCUUAGGGAUAACAGCGUAAUUCUUUUGGAGAGUUCUUAUCGAUAAAGGAGUUUGCGA